rnacentral:rRNA from 1 species
AUUGAACGCUGGCGGCAUGCUUUACACAUGCAAGUCGAACGGCAGCGCGGGGCAACCUGGCGGCGAGUGGCGAACGGGUGAGUAAUACAUCGGAACGUACCCAGAAGUGGGGGAUAACGUAGCGAAAGUUACGCUAAUACCGCAUACGUUCUACGGAAGAAAGUGGGGGAUCUUCGGACCUCAUGCUUUUGGAGCGGCCGAUGUCUGAUUAGCUAGUUGGUGAGGUAAAGGCUCACCAAGGCGACGAUCAGUAGCUGGUCUGAGAGGACGACCAGCCACACUGGGACUGAGACACGGCGCAGACUCCUACGGGAGGCAGCAGUGGGGAAUUUUGGACAAUGGGCGCAAGCCUGAUCCAGCAAUGCCGCGUGAGUGAAGAAGGCCUUCGGGUUGUAAAGCUCUUUUGUCAGGGAAGAAACGGUUGGGGCUAAUAUCCCCGGCUAAUGACGGUACCUGAAGAAUAAGCACCGGCUAACUACGUGCCAGCCGCCGCCGUAAAAC